rnacentral:rRNA from 1 species
AACGAACGCUGGCGGCAUGCCUAACACAUGCAAGUCGAACGGCAGCACGGACUUCGGUCUGGUGGCGAGUGGCGAACGGGUGAGUAAUGUAUCGGAACGCGCCCAGUCGUGGGGGAUAACGUAGUGAAAAUUACGCUAAUACCGCAUACGAUCUAUGGAUGAAAGCGGGGGAUCGCAAGACCUCGCGCGAUUGGAGCGGCCGAUAUCAGAUUAGGUAGUUGGUGGGGUAAAGGCCCACCAAGCCAACGAUCUGUAGCUGGUCUGAGAGGACGACCAGCCACACUGGACCUGGGACGCGGUCCAGACUCCGACGGGAGGCAGCAGUGGGGAAUUUUGGACAAUGGACGCAAGUCUGAUCCAGCCAUUCCGCGUGCAGGAUGAAGGCCCUCGGGUUGUAAACUGCUUUUGUACAGAACGAAAAGGCUCUGGUUAAUACCUAGGGCUCAUGACGGUACUGUAAGAAUAAGCACCGGCUAACUACGUGCCAGCAGCCGCCGUAA